rnacentral:rRNA from 1 species
UCCUGGCUCAGGAUGAACGCUAGCUACAGGCUUAACACAUGCAAGUCGAGGGGCAGCAGGAUCUUAGCUUGCUAAGAUGCUGGCGACCGGCGCACGGGUGAGUAACGCGUAUCCAACCUCCCCUUAGUAGGGCAUAGCCCGAUGAAAAUCGGAUUAAUACCCUAUGUUUUCCAAUGAGGACAUCUGAGCUGGAACAAAGAUUCAUCGCUAAGGGAUGGGGAUGCGUCCGAUUAGGUAGUCGGCGGGGUAACGGCCCACCGAGCCAUCGAUCGGUAGGGGUUCCGAGAGGAAGGUCCCCCACAUUGGAACUGAGACACGGUCCAAACUCCUACGGGAGGCAGCAGUGAGGAAUAUUGGUCAAUGGGCGAGAGCCUGAACCAGCCAAGUAAGCGUGCAGGAUGACGGCCCUAUGGGUUGUAAACUGCUUUUAUGCGGGGAUAAAGUGAGGGACGUGUCCCUUUUUGUAGGUACCGCAUGAAUAAGGACCGGCUAAUUCCGUGCCAGCCGCGGC